CCAUGAGAUACAAGUUCAUAAUAUUUUAAUUUUCUUCAUCUAAAGAGGAGUCAUCACUUUCACUCCAUGUUGCCACUAUAGCCUUUUUCUUGGAUUUCUUAAAGAUUUUGUCGAGGAUUGGACAAUCAGCCUUGAAAUGUCCUGACUUUUUGCACUCAUAGUGAAGUGGUUGCUCCGUUUCUUUCUCUCUAUCUUUGCUUGAUUCUCCUUUAUCU
rnacentral:lncRNA from 1 species